rnacentral:lncRNA from 1 species
CAUCUUCUUUCCAAGCAUCAGCCCUCAUAUCUUCCUGAGAAUAUCGUAGCUGCACUGGACUGCUCUGCAGGGCUGCUGUAAAUUCAGGUCAGAAGUCAUCUGGUUAUAGAUAAAUUCUCUCACAAACUCCAAGUUUCAAACAAAACAUUUUCAAAGUAAUAAUAAUAAUAAUAAAAUUUUUAUUUAUAUCCCGUCCUCCCCAGCCGAAGCCGGGCUCAGAGCAGCUAACAACAAUAAAAUAAUACAACAUUCUAAAAUCAUUUCAUUAUAAAAUUAAUUCAAAUCAAAUUAAUGGCAACCAUUGGGCUAGAGUUCUGUGAGGAUUAUGAUUCUCCCUCUUCUUUCUCCCUCAAUCCUAAAACCAUUUUGACUCUCCCAAUGACCUCAAAUAUUCCUCUGCAGUAAGGGAGGCAAAUGGGGAAAGCUUUCCCAUUGUCUUUUCACUUACAAAUGCUUCAGAUCCUGUCUUAAGGGCGUACUUGUGUAUGACUAGAGUGAGCCUGUGACCUGGAUUCAGGAACUAAAGUAUUUACUGUAGUGGCGAGUUCCUUGGGCUCGAGUUGGAUCAUCAAAGAAAAGGCCAAGAUAAUGAAGUAAAAUAGCAGCCAGGAGGCCUGAGCUUUAUUGUUUCAACAAGACUUCAAACUACAACAUAAAGGAAGCAGAGAGAAGUCCCGAACAAAGGUGCUUCUCCUUUUAAAAGUUCCCCAUAGUUACCCACAACACCCUUGGAAAAACAUCAUGUAUUUGUCAUAAAUCAGGUGUAGCAUCUGAACUGAAACUUGAGUGUCAGACUUGCCCUGUCAGUCAAACUUACUCUACAUUCCUGUUUCUUUUUU